UCUCCGAAAUAUUCACCAUCGCCAAGCAGAGCUAUUCUCAAUUCUUCCCCGUGUGGUCCUUUACUGAUCACCUCAGCCUGACCAUUCGCCACGAUAAAGAAUUUCUGCUUGUCCUUCCCCUCUUCCACGAACAGUUUACCGAUAUCCACCUCAUUGGUUUCGAAAGAGCUUGCGAGCCUUUCUACGAUAUCAUCGUCAAAUUCAGAAAAGAGGGGAAUCGCCUUCAGGCUUUUGGCAGAAAAAGAUGGCGUGCCGUUGACAUACUCAAUUGGCAGUCUUUCACUUUUUCUGAGUUCAACCUUAGUCCUAUUGACGCGGAAUGUACCUCCACUGACUUGCACCCAAGGCAAGAGUUUCAGGAGCAAUCUUGGGGUGAUACUCCCCAUCUGCGGAGGAGUUUUGGUCGUAGUCGCCAGUUUUCUGGCAGUAGCAGUAG
rnacentral:antisense_RNA from 1 species